rnacentral:rRNA from 1 species
GAUGAACGCUGGCGGCGUGCCUAACACAUGCAAGUCGAGCGAUUCUCUUCGGAGAAGAGCGGCGGACGGGUGAGUAACGCGUGGGUAACCUGCCCUGUACACACGGAUAACAUACCGAAAGGUAUGCUAAUACGAGAUAAUAUGCUUUUAUCGCAUGGUAGAAGUAUCAAAGCUUUUGCGGUACAGGAUGGACCCGCGUCUGAUUAGCUAGUUGGUAAGGUAACGGCUUACCAAGGCGACGAUCAGUAGCCGACCUGAGAGGGUGAUCGGCCACAUUGGAACUGAGACACGGUCCAAACUCCUACGGGAGGCAGCAGUGGGGAAUAUUGCACAAUGGGCGAAAGCCUGAUGCAGCAACGCCGCGUGAGCGAUGAAGGCCUUCGGUCGUAAAGCUCUGUCUCAAGAAGAUAAUGACGGUACUUGAGGAGGAAGCCCCGGCUAACUACGUG